rnacentral:lncRNA from 1 species
GUUUUUUCCCCAUUUUUUCCCCAUUGUUCCUCGAUUUUCCCUUUUUUCCCGUUUUUUCCCUUUUUUCCCAGUUUUUUCCCAUUUUUUCCCCAUUGUUCCUCGAUUUUCCCGUUUUUUCCCUUUUUUCCCUGAUUUUUCCCAUUUCCCCCGUUUUUCCCCAAUUUUACCCCGAUUUUCCCAUUAAUUUUUCCUGAUUUUUCCCCAUUUUCCCCCAGAGUUUUCCCCAUUUCCCCCCUGAGUUUCCACAGUUUUUUUCCCCGUUCUUUCCUCAUUUUUCCACCAUUUUCCCCCCAUUUUUUCCCAAUUUUCCUCCAAUUUUUUCCCCAUUUUUUCCCCGAUUUUCCCCAUGAUUUUUCCAUGUUUUUCCCCAAUUUUCCCCCGAUUUUCCCAUUAUUUUUUCCUGAUUUUUCCCCAUUUUCCCCCUGAGUUUUCCACAAUUUUUCACCCAUUCUUUCCUCAUUUUUCUGCCAUUUUUUCCCCAAUUUUUCCCCGAUUUUCCCAUUAAUUUUUCCUGAUUUUUCCCCAUUUUCCCCCUGAAUUUCCCCCAUUUUUCCGCCAUUUUCCCUGUUUUUAUCUCAUUUUUCCGCCAUUUUCCCCCCAAUUUUUCCCCGUUUUUUCCCCAUUUUUUCCCCAAUUUUUUCCCCGAUUUUUCCCCAAUUUUUCCCCGUAUUUUUCCAUGUUUUCCCCAGGAAUAAGGAGUGUCCCACCUGCAGGAAGAAGCUGCCCAUUGCCCAUUGCCCAUUUCUUCCCCAAUUUCCCCCAUUUCAACCCCAAUUUUUCCCCAUUUUUACCCAACUUUUUCUCUAUUUUUUUCCUGAUUUCCCCCCAAUUUUUCCCCGAUUUUCCCAUUAUUUUUUCCUGAUUUUCCCCCAUUUUCCCCUGUUCUUUCCUCAUUUUUCCGCCUUUUUUCCUUGUUUUUUCCCCAUUUUUCUGCCAUUUUUACCCCAAUUUCCCCCAAUUUUUCCCCAAUUUUCCCAAUAUUUUUUCCUGAUUUUCCCCCAUUUCCCCCCUGAUUUUCCCCCAUUUUUCCCCUCUUCUUUCCUCAUUUUCCCCCCAAUUUUUCCCUGUUUUUUCCCCAUUUUUCUGCCAUUUUUUCCCCAAUUUUUCCCUGUUUUUCCCCCAUUUUUCUGCCAUUGUUUCCCCAAUUUUUUCCCCGUUUUUUCCCCAAUUUUUCCCCGUAUUUUUCCAUGUUUUCCCCAGGAACAAGGAGUGUCCCACCUGCAGGAAGAAGCUGCCCCUUGCCCAUUGCCCAUUGCCCAUUUCUUCCCCAAUUUCCCCCAUUUUUCCCCCCAUUUUUCUGCCAUUUCAACCCCAAUUUUUCCCCAUUUUACCCCACUUUUUCCCUGUUUUUUUCCUGAUUUCCCCCCAAUUUUUCCCCAGUUUUCCCAAUAUUCUUUCCUGAUUUUCCCCCAUUUCCCCCCUGAUUUUCCCCCAUUUUCCCCUGUUCUUUCCUCAUUUUCCCCCAAUUUUCCCCCGUUUUUCCCCGUUUUUUCCCCAUUUUUUCCCCAAUUUUUUCCCCGUUUUUUCCCCGUUUUUUCCCCAAUUUUCCCCCGUAUUUUUCCAUGUUUUCCCCAGGAACAAGGAGUGUCCCACCUGCAGGAAGAAGCUGGUGUCCAAGCGCUCGCUGCGGCCCGACCCCAACUUCGACGCGCUCAUCUCCAAGAUUUACCCGAGCCGCGACGAGUACGAGGCGCACCAGGACCGCGUGCUGGCCAAGCUCAGCCGCCUGCACAACCAGCAGGCGCUCAGCUCCAGCAUCGAGGAGGGCCUCAAGAUGCAGGCCAUGCACAGGUCCGGGGAAAAUCCCCGAAAUUCCCAAAGUUUUCCGGGAUUUUGGGGCGUUUCGGGUGAAAACGGGGCGAAAAACGGGCAAAAAACGGCUCAGAAAUGGGGAGAAAUGGCUCAGAAAUGGCACCAAAAUCAUCAAAAUACAGAAAAGUUCCUGAAAUUCCUGUUCAGAUGCAGGCCAAGC